AAAAAAUGGCCCUGCCCAAGUAUCUGGACAUAUAUCUAGGCAGGGUCUGAUCCCUAGCGCAUUUGGGAUGAUGGGCUGAAAUUGCCACCCUACCAUGAUUUCCAAUGUUGCAUAAUUAAAUUUGCCAGAAUAGUGAACUUUUUUUUAAUCUUUUUUAUUCUUUUCCUUUUGAUUAG